CCUACGGGAGGCAGCAGUGAGGAAUAUUGGUCAAUGGGCGCGAGCCUGAACCAGCCAAGUCGCGUGAGGGAUGACGGUCCUACGGAUUGUAAACCUCUUUUGCCGGGGAGCAAGCGUGCGUUCGUGAACGCGCGUCGAGAGUACCCGGAGAAAAAGCAUCGGCUAACUCCGUGCCAGCAGCCGCGGUAAUACAGAGGUCUCAAGCGUUGUUCGGAAUCACUGGGUGUAAAGCGUGCGUGGGCGGUUUCGUAAGUCGGGGGUGAAAGGCGCGGGAUCAACCCGGGGACGGCACAUGAUAUUGGGGGGCUAGAGUAGUGGUGGGGGAGGCGGAAUGCGUGGUGUAGCAGUGAAAUGCAUAGAUAUC
rnacentral:rRNA from 1 species